rnacentral:misc_RNA from 1 species
UGCGCUCUCAUGCAUCGCAAAGCCGAUUGAGCAAGCAUAUGAGCUCACGCGUUGCUGUUUCGUUAUUUUUUUUUCAAUCAGCAUCACUAACCGCAUCUCCUCCGUCUUAGGUGGUUUUGCGGCCUUAUGGGUGUUGAAGGGUGUCGAUACCUCUAUCGAGGCGCACAGCUGAGUAGCAGCAACAUCUGCGCUCCACAUCUUUCUACGCUUUCAUUUUUUCUCACCCUUUCCAUGACCUCCUUCGGUGUGUGCGGCGCUGUGUCUCGCCGUCGUCAUUGUCUCUCUCUCUUGUCUUCUUAGCUUCUUUUUGCCUCUACGCAUCCCUCUUCCCUUGUCGCCACUGCACAGUGGGACGGUUUGCCCUUGUGCAUAAUGUGUCGGCUUCUGUAGGAUUGCGACAUGCGUGCGCCAACUCGUGGAUCGGUCGAAUGCCGCACGGGCAUGCCCACAGGAAGUCGAAAGAAGGAGAUGACCGGUUCCUAGUAUGGAGCACCAAGAAGAGCGGCACACACACACAAGAAAAAAGGGAAAAGAAGGAAAACCCAAAGAAGCACACAAAAAAGUGCCGUCGCCCCUAUCAUACCCAUGCAUGUGCCAUAUGCCGUCGUACAUGCGAAUCACGAACGGUCGCGCAACUGCACCACAGAGGAAAAUCACGCCAGGUAUAUAUAUAUAUACAUGCAUGCUCGUUGUCGCCGUUAGCCGCUGUUCUCUUCUGUGUCUCUCUUUUUUUUCGUCUCUCGUGAUUUAGGGUGUCCGUGUGCGUGUGUGUGUGUGUUGCCUCCUGUAGGGCAGAGGAGGAGGGGGGGGUCGCAGCUGCUUCUUUCGGGCGGCUUCCGGACGCGGCGCACGGGCAUAUAUGUGCGUGCGCAGGGUGACGGCUCUCUUCCCCCCCUUCUCCUGGGAAGGAUGUUGACCGACUUUUGUUACCUUGUCUGUGAGCGCAAGUCCGUCCCACCCUGUGACCAGGCCCUGACCGUGUCAGCCACCGGGUGUCACAUGCGAUGGAUAAGGGAAAGGCGGACCUUGCGCUUUCGGUGAAGCCAUCAAGACGGUUAAACAGCGAUUCCGUAAGGGCGGAGCACAGAUGUCAGCCUCCCAGUCUACCUGGCGACGUCCGACACAUCUCAUCACAUCGCAUAUGACAGGCUAGGAAAGCGGGGACGGGCCCCCGCAUCUCAAUAAAUUGCCUUCGUCUCCUUCUUGACCACACGCUCCCACCUCCCUCCUUCCCUGAGUGUGUGUGAUUGCACGCUCGCGAGGGCAGGAAGCACUCAUGUAAAAGAUGGCAAGAGGAGGAGAUGGCAUAUGUCAGCGUAGAGAG